UCAGGAUGAACGCUGGCGGCGUGCUUAACACAUGCAAGUCGAACGAUGAUCCCAGCUUGCUGGGGGAUUAGUGGCGAACGGGUGAGUAACACGUGAGUAACCUGCCCUUGACUCUGGGAUAAGCCUGGGAAACUGGGUCUAAUACCGGAUACGACCAUCUGGCGCAUGUCAUGGUGGUGGAAAGCUUUUGUGGUUUUGGAUGGACUCGCGGCCUAUCAGCUUGUUGGUGGGGUAAUGGCCUACCAAGGCGACGACGGGUAGCCGGCCUGAGAGGGUGACCGGCCACACUGGGACUGAGACACGGCCCAGACUCCUACGGGAGGCAGCAGUGGGGAAUAUUGCACAAUGGGCGCAAGCCUGAUGCAGCGACGCCGCGUGAGGGAUGACGGCCUUCGGGUUGUAAACCUCUUUCAGUAGGGAAGAAGCGAAAGUGACGUA
rnacentral:rRNA from 1 species